GGCGCAGUUCCGGAUUUGCGCAUCCUGUUUCCGGUCUGGCCGGCGACUCCCGGCUUGCGAGCAUUGGCAACGCCGAGCUUUAGGGUUUAGCAGCUAAAAGGAAAGUGAUGUGGGCGAAACGCACUGGUCCGGUCCCGUACUUGAACUGCACUACAAACAAGCUACAAAACAGUUAUCACAAGGAACUUGCGGGGCAAUACAGUUUUCAGGGUUUCUCUAUGUAACAGCCCUAGAUGUCCUGGAACUCAUGCUACAGACCAAAUUGGCCUCAAAGUCACAGAGAUCCACCUGCUUCUUCCUCCCUAAUGUGAUUAAAGGCAUGCACUACCACCACCCAGCAGGUAAGAGGAUCUUAUGCAAGUAUUUACUACAAGAUCAUUUUACUUAGAAUAAUUUUAAAAGAGCAAUUAAGAUUUUAUUGAAUAUCUAAUUCACAGUAUUAGUGUGAUGAUUUAUUCAAAUUUCAAGGAAAAUUUAUCUUAAUAUUGAAGAAAAUAUUAAUUAGGUAUAGUUAAUCACCUCAAGAUUAAAAUUUCAGGAUGUGAAAACUGUCAGUAGUUUCAAACAGUUCAGAUCACAAAAAUUAAAAAGGUGAAAGCAUAGGAAAGAUUGGUGAUUGCCACAUGCAGUGUGUGCAUCUGGACAGCAGCAUGGGUUGAAAGGAGAAGCCAUCACUGGGUCACGUAGGACAGUGAGAGGCUCUCCACUCAAGAAAUACUGUCUGCCUUACAAGUGGUGAAGAGGUGGUUACACAGGGAAAUGCUCUUUUUUUUUUUUUUUUUUUUUUUUUUGAGUGUCACAGCACCUGUGACUUACUUCAGAGUAUCUCAGAAGAGGAAAGCCUCUUGCAUAAAAUAAUAGUGACUGCCAAUAGCAGAGGCAGGAGAGUCUAUAACCCAUUAAUUAAACUUUUAA